GGGGCGGCGGCUUUUAAACAACAAUGGCAAAGUCCGAAACGAGAUAGGUCCCGCCAGGGGUGAGUAAGGGUGGCGUACUGGUGAGUAACACGUCGGUAAUCUACCUCUUGGUAGGGGAUAACCCGGGUGAAACCUGGGCUAAUACCGCAUAAUCCAGCAUAGGCACAGGCGAUAGUCGCCGAGAGAUGAGCCCGCGGCUGAUUAGCUAGUUGGUGAGGUAACGGCCCACCAAGGCGAUGAUCGGUAGCCGGCCAUGAGAGGGCACACGGCCACACUGGCACUGAAACACGGGCCAGACUCCUACGGGAGGCAGCAGUGGGGAAUCUUGCACAAUGGGGGAAACCCUGAUGCAGCGACGCCGCGUGAGCGAUGAAGCCCCUCGGGGUGUAAAGCUCUUUCGGCAGGAACGAUAAUGACGGUACCUGAAGAAGAAGCUGCGGCUAACUACGUGCCAGCAGCCGCGGUAAUACGUAGGCAGCAAGCGUUGUUCGGAGUUACUGGGCGUAAAGAGUGCGUAGGCGGUCCACUAAGUUUGGUGUGAAAUCUCCCGGCUCAACCGGGAGGGUGCACCGAAGACUGGUGGGCUUGAGUGUGGGAUAGGUAGGCGGAAUUCCUGGUGUAGCGGUGAAUACUGCGUAGAUAUCAGGAGGAACCACCGGUGGUGUAGACGGCUUACUGGACCAUAACUGCACGCUGAGGCACGAAAGCGUGGGUAGCAAACAGGCAUUAGCAUACC
rnacentral:rRNA from 1 species